CCUACGGGGGGCAGCAGUGGGGAAUAUUGGACAAUGGGGGGAACCCUGAUCCAGCCAUGCCGCGUGUGUGAAGAAGGCCCUCGGGUUGUAAAGCACUUUCAGUGAGGAAGAACGCCUGGUGGUUAAUACCCAUCAGGAAAGACAUCACUCACAGAAGAAGCACCGGCUAACUCCGUGCCGGCAGCCGCGGUAAUACGGAGGGUGCGAGCGUUAAUCGGAAUUACUGGGCGUAAAGCGCGCGUAGGUGGCUUGAUAAGCCGGUUGUGAAAGCCCCGGGCUCAACCUGGGAACGGCAUCCGGAACUGUCAAGCUAGAGUGCAGGAGAGGAAGGUAGAAUUCCCGGUGUAGCGGUGAAAUGCGUAGAGAUCGGGAGGAAUACCAGUGGCGAAGGCGGCCUUCUGGACUGACACUGACACUGAGGUGCGAAAGCGUGGGUAGCAAACAGGAUUAGAUACCCUGGUAGUC
rnacentral:rRNA from 1 species